rnacentral:rRNA from 1 species
UACGAAGGGGGCUAGCGUUGUUCGGAAUUACUGGGCGUAAAGGGCGCGUAGGCGGUCGAUCGCGUUGGGUGUGAAAGCCCCGGGCUCAACCUGGGAUGGGCGCCCGAAACGGGUCGGCUUGAGAUCGGAAGAGGAGAGUGGAAUUCCCAGUGUAGAGGUGAAAUUCGUAGAUAUUGGGAAGAACACCGGUGGCGAAGGCGGCUCUCUGGUCCGGUUCUGACGCUGAGGCGCGAAAGCGUGGGGAGCAAACAGG